rnacentral:lncRNA from 1 species
CAGGCACUGGGCUCUUCAACUGCUGAACACUACUUAACAAAUUUUCCCACUGUUUCCAGGGCUGUCCGUAUUGACACUUCAAAAGGGCAAAUGCCUUUGCUCAAGGUCACUGGCCAGGAAGUAGUGGAACUGGACUCGGAAUUUCAGGGCCAGCUGCCUCCCCACACCCAGAGAGAUUUCAUGGCACCAGGAGAGGCCAAGUAGGCGAGAAAGGAAACGGAAUGAUUCGUUUACUGCCCCGGGGCAUUUUCAGCAACAAGCGGAUUCUUUACCAACUGAGUUACCGGGGAGCCCUGACAAGCCCGUGGCAAUUCAUGGUUUGUGGAGGAGCGCAGUUUCUGAAAGCCCUGGUGAGCCUUGCCUGGAUCCUACCCUGGAAGGAAAGGAACUGGAAGCAGGAGAGUCACGUGGGGUCUGCCCUGGUGACUCUGGGCAGCCUGACAGAUGCUCUCGGACCCCAGGCCUUUACUGGGGCUAGUCUUUCUCCCCCCUGCCCUUCCUUCCUUCCCCGCCUGUCCCUCUUCUCCCCCUGCUGUGGUUCUUCUCAUGUUUCAUGGUCCCCUUCAAAUGCCAUCUAGAUCUGGGGUCAGUAUUCGUUGUUCCCUCCUCUGGGCCCUUAAAGUCCUUUCAUUGUGUGUUACCAUUUAUUGUAUUCCAUCUUAUCUUUUAUGUCAGUUGCACCUGUUCAUCUCCCUCACUGGACUGAAAGUUCCUUAAAGAGCAUAUUAACUCUGGAAUAUUUAUUUCUCAUUUCCCACAGCACUUAGCAUACAAAGCUUUGAGCCAGGCUUUUCUCAAGCUCCAGUUCCUCUGCUUAUUGGCCAUGUGAUCUUGGACAAGUCACUCCAUCUCUACGACCUCGAGUUGUCUCAUCUGUAAAAUGGGGAUAAUGAUUUUUAUUGCAGAGGAUAAUUGGGAGGAUUACCUGGUUAGCACUCAGCAAACAUUAGUUGCCCUCCUCCCUCCUCUGCUCUCUGGCUCAUAAAGAUUGCUGUAACAUCCUGGGAGAGCAUCCCUGAGGGAGGGGUACCCUGCUUUUCCCAUGGGUCCAGAUGUCAGAUGCCAUCUGUACUGGUUUGCUGAGCACCUGGGCAGAAAGGCGGGCUACCAACAUUACUGCGUGGAUCCUUGGUUAUCAGUGGCAGUCAACACCACCCAUUCUAAUCUGAUCUUUUUUUUUUUUUUUUUUUUUGACACCUUCCAUGGAACACUCAUCCUUAAUUUAAACAAAAAGGUAUUGCAAGAAAAAAAAAAAAUUUAAAA